rnacentral:rRNA from 1 species
UACGGGGGGGGCAAGCGUUGUUCGGAAUUACUGGGCGUAAAGGGCGCGUAGGCGGCCUGCUAAGUCGGACGUGAAAUCCCCCGGCUCAACCGGGGAACUGCGUCCGAUACUGGUGGGCUCGAAUCCGGGAGAGGGAUGUGGAAUUCCAGGUGUAGCGGUGAAAUGCGUAGAUAUCAUCAGGAACACCGGUGGCGAAAGCGGCUACCUGGCCCACUCUUGACGCUGAGGCGCGAAAGCUAGGGGAGCAAACGGG